rnacentral:rRNA from 1 species
UAUCAAUAAGCGGAGGAAAGAACUAACAAGGAUUCCCCUAGUAACGGCGAGUGAACCGGGAAGAGCUCAAAUUUGAAAUCUGGCGUGCUCAGUGCGUCCGAGUUGUAAUCUAUAGAGUCGUUUUCCGUGCCGGACUGUGUCCAAGUCCCUUGGAACAGGGUAUCAAAGAGGGUGAUAAUCCCGUACUUGACACAAUGACCGGUGCUCUGUGAUACGUCUUCUACGAGUCGAGUUGUUUGGGAAUGCAGCUCAAAAUGGGUGGUGAGUUCCAUCUAAAGCUAAAUAUUGGCGAGAGACCGAUAGCGAACAAGUACCGUGAGGGAAAGAUGAAAAGCACUUUGGAAAGAGAGUUAAACAGUACGUGAAAUUGUUAAAAGGGAAACGAUUGAAGUCAGUCGUGACUGAGAGGCUCAGCCGGUUCUGCCGGUGUAUUCCCCUCAGUCGGGUCAACAUCAGUUUUGUUCGGUGGAUAAGGGCAGUUGGAAGGUGGCACCCUCGGGUGUGUUAUAGCCAGCUGUCGCAUACAUCGGAUGAGACUGAGGAAUGCAGCUCGCCUUUAUGGCCGGGGUUCGCCCACGUUCGAGCUUAGGAUGUUGACAUAAUGGCUUUAAACGACCCGUCUUGAACCAACGG